rnacentral:rRNA from 1 species
AGCGAAUCUCCAAAAAUUGUCCCAGUUCAGAUUGCAGGCUGCAACUCGCCUGCAUGAAGUCGGAAUUGCUAGUAAUCGUGGAUCAGCAUGCCACGGUGAAUACGUUCCCGGGCCUUGUACACACCGCCCGUCACACCAUGGGAGUCGGUAACACCCGAAGCCUGUAGUCUAACCGCAAGGAGGACGCAGUCGAAGGUGGGAUUGAUGAUUGGGGUGAAGUCGUAACAAGGUAAC